rnacentral:misc_RNA from 1 species
GUAGGUGAACCUGCGGAAGGAUCAUUAGUAGUUGGGGGGACGUGCCGAUAGGCGCGUCUCCGAAGGAGAAUGCGUAGCAUGAGCGAGCGUAGCAGCGAAGCUGCAAAGCAGCGCAGCAACUGUCUUGCUCGUGCGAAGCAUGAGCCAGCGGCGUGGGAGUGGUGUGUGUGGAGUGUUGUUGUUGAGGUAGUAGUCGUGGAGGUACUUGUUACUGACACUCCCACUCCCACCCCACCCCACCACCACCACA